rnacentral:lncRNA from 1 species
GCUCGGCCUAGCGGCCGCUGGCUCCACAAAGGCCUCCCCAAGAGCCGGCCUCCCACCUGCCCGGCUGCCGGGGUCCUGGGGCUCCGCCGCCCCCGCCCCGCGGACGGCCAGCCUCCUGCCCCUGCAGUGCCUGCAGCAGAGCAGCUUGGGGCCCAGCGUGGUGGUGCCCAGGUCCGCCUCAGCAAGGUGCCCGCGCCCACCUUCCAACCCAAAAGGCCGGCGCGGAAGGGCAGCAUAAAGGCAGCGGCCACCUGCGGAUACCCAAGUGGCCUUACAAGGUGGCCAAGGAGGAGAAACGGGAGGCGGAGGAGGCCGAGAAGAGGCGCCAGGCCAAGGUGCAGGAGAAGCGCCCGCCGCCCUGGAAGAAGAGGACGUGAGAGUCCGCGGGUGCUUGGCACGGGGUUUGAGGGCUGGGUGAGGCCGCGGGGCUGGGCACCAUGGCAGCUCUCGGGACCACCGGGCAGCGCGCGUUUCCACGCUGUCUCUCUAGGAUGCUCCCAGAAAGGGGCUGGGGGAGCCACAUCGAUUCGCUUCACACCAGCCACCCUAGCAAUCAGUACACCUAGGGGGCAUGUUCCCUAAAAGGCUCCCUUUAGAGAACCUCAAUUAAGAUUUUUUUAAAGAUUAAUUUAUUAGGCCAGGCGCGGUGGCUCACGCCUGUAAUCCCAGCACUUUGGGAGGCCGAGGCGGGCGGAUCACCUGAGGUUAGGAGUUUGAGACUAGCCUGACCAACAUGGAGAAACCCCAUCUCUACUAAAAAUACAAAAUUAGCCGGGCGUGGUGGCACAUGCCUGUAAUCCCAACUACUCGGGAGGCUGAGGCAGGAGAAUCGCUUGAACCCUGGAGGCAGAGGUGGCAGGGAGCCAAGAUGGCGCCAUUGCACUUCAGCCUAGGCAACAAGAGCCAAACUCCGUCUCAAUUAAAAAAAAAUCAAUUUAUUAAAGGAUAUUUUCUGUGUAAUUUUGUAUUUUUAAUUGUUGUCCAAUUUGCCAAGUUUUACAAGUGAUAGGGUCCCUUGUAUCCAAGGAAGUUUUUAUACACUUACCUGAAGACCUUUUAUUUAAAACACUGUUUCCAGCAAUAAAUAUUUAUGAUAUCUGUAGGACUUUACACAGAAAUCAUGGGAUUCUCUCCUUUUUGGGCUGUUUGCUUUGGUCUUCUCAUCAUGGGUGGAUGUUUUUAUUAAUUAGAUUAAGUGAUGCCGGAUAUUUCUAUUUGAUGGAGGGAUUGACUGGUUCAGCCACAUGAUCAAGUGAGACAGAGAGAUCAGAUUUUAUUGUAUCUUUUUAAAAAGUAUUAUCCAAUACAGUCAUAUAUUGAGGAAAAACAUUUAUCGUCAAAUUAUAAAACAAUGCAGAGAUAGGCAUGUCUGUAUUGCUAGAAUUAAACUCAUUUUAAGCAAGGAGUUUUAGAUAAACUGUAUACAAAAAUCUUUAACAUAUUAAAAUAGACAUGAGAAAAA